rnacentral:tRNA from 1 species
AAACAGGUAGCUUAAAUUAAAGCGUAACACUGAAGAUGUUAUUAUAGAUUGUUCUUCUGUUUA